GUGGUGUAUUGCAGGUACCGCAUGAAUAAGGACCGGCUAAUUCCGUGCCAGCAGCCGCGGUAAUACGGAAGGUCCGGGCGUUAUCCGGAUUUAUUGGGUUUAAAGGGAGCGUAGGCCGCUGUUUAAGCGUGUUGUGAAAAACCGGGGCUCAACUCCGGUCGUGCAGCGCGAACUGGACGGCUUGAGUGCGCGGUAAGUGGGCGGAAUUUGUGGUGUAGCGGUGAAAUGCUUAGAUAUCACGAAGAACUCCGAUUGCGAAGGCAGCUCACUGUAGCGCAACUGACGCUGAAGCUCGAAAGUGCGGGUAUCGAACAGGAUUAGAUACCCUGGUAGUCCGCACGGUAAACGAUGGAUGCCCGCUGUUCCGGCAUUAGUUGGAGUGGCCAAGCGAAAGCGUUAAGCAUCCCACCUGGGGAGUACGCCGGCAACGGUGAAACUCAAAGGAAUUGACGGGGGCCCGCACAAGCGGAGGAACAUGUGGUUUAAUUCGAUGAUACGCGAGGAACCUUACCCGGGCUUGAACUGCAGGAGAACGAUUCAGAGAUGAUGAGGCCCUUCGGGGCUCCUGUGGAGGUGCUGCAUGGUUGUCGUCAGCUCGUGCCGUGAGGUGUCGGCUUAAGUGCCAUAACGAGCGCAACCCCUCUCCGUAGUUGCCAUCAGGUAGUGCUGGGCACUCUGCGGACACUGCCACCGUAAGGUGUGAGGAAGGUGGGGAUGACGUCAAAUCAGCACGGCCCUUACGUCCGGGGCUACACACGUGUUACAAUGGGGGGUACAGAGUGUUGUUCGCAUGCAAAUGCGUACUAAUCAUGAAAGCCCUCCUCAGUUCGGACUGGGGUCUGCAACCCGACCCCACGAAGCUGGAUUCGCUAGUAAUCGCGCAUCAGCCAUGGCGCGGUGAAUACGUUCCCGGGCCUUGUACACACCGCCCGUCAAGCCAUGAAAGCCGGGGGCGCCUGAAGUCCGUGACCGCGAGGGUCGGCCUAGGGUGAAACCGGUGAUUGGGGCUAAGUCGUAACAAGGUAGCCGUACCGGAAGGUGCGGCUGGAACACCUCCUUUCU
rnacentral:rRNA from 1 species